rnacentral:rRNA from 1 species
AAUGGGGGAAACCCUGAUGCAGCGACGCCGCGUGAAGGAAGAAGUAUCUCGGUAUGUAAACUUCUAUCAGCAGGGAAGAAAAUGACGGUACCUGACUAAGAAGCCCCGGCUAACUACGUGCCAGCAGCCGCGGUAAUACGUAGGGGGCAAGCGUUAUCCGGAUUUACUGGGUGUAAAGGGAGCGUAGACGGAUGGACAAGUCUGAUGUGAAAGGCUGGGGCUCAACCCCGGGACUGCAUUGGAAACUGCCCGUCUUGAGUGCCGGAGAGGUAAGCGGAAUUCCUAGUGUAGCGGUGAAAUGCGUAGAUAUUAGGAGGAACACCAGUGGCGAAGGCGGCUUACUGGACGGUAACUGACGUUGAGGCUCGAAAGCGUGGGGAGCAAA